UUAGUUGGUGAGGUAAAGGCUCACCAAGGCGAUGAUGGUUAGGGGUCCUGAGAGGGUAGUCCCCCACACUGGUACUGAGACACGGACCAGACUCCUACGGGAGGCAGCAGUGAGGAAUAUUGGUCAAUGGGCGCUAGCCUGAACCAGCCAUGCCGCGUGCAGGAAGACGGCCCUACGGGUUGUAAACUGCUUUUCUGCAGGAAGAAUAUAUAGUCUUAGGGCUAUAUUGACGGUACUGCAGGAAUAAGCAUCGGCUAACUCCGUGCCAGCAGCCGCGGUAAUACGGAGGAUGCAAGCGUUAUCCGGAUUCAUUGGGUUUAAAGGGUGCGCAGGCUGUAAAGCAAGUCAGUGGUGAAAGCCCUGGGCUUAACUCAGGGAUUGCCAUUGAAACUGUUUUACUAGAGUGUAGUAGAGGACGGCGGAAUGAGUUGUGUAGCGGUGAAAUGCAUAGAUAUAACUCAGAACACCUAUUGCGUAGGCAGCUGUCUAUACUACAACUGACGCUGAGGCACGAAAGCGUGGGGAGCGAACAGGAUUAGAUACCCUGGUAGUCCACGCUGUAAACGAUGAUCACUCGUUGUUGGCUACUUAGUAGUCAGUGACCAAGGGAAACCGAUUAGUGAUCCACCUGGGGAGUACGUCGGGCAAACGGAUGAAACUCAAAGGAAUUGACGGGGGCCCGCACAAGCGGAGGAACAUGUGGUUUAAUUCGAUGAUACGCGAGGAACCUUACCUGGGCUUAAAUGCUGGCUGCAUUGGAGGGAAACCUUCAUGUCCUACGGGACCGCCAGCAAGGUGCUGCAUGGUUGUCGUCAGCUCGUGCCGUGAGGUGUCGGGUUAAGUCCCAUAACGAGCGCAACCCCUAUCGCUAGUUGCCAGCAUGUAAUGGUGGGGACUCUAGCGAGA
rnacentral:rRNA from 1 species